AUUCUCCAGCGCUGGGGAUUUAAGAGAGAAUCGGAGGGUCCCAGCCACAGACCCGUUUGUCUCAGGGAGCCGAGCUCGUCUGGAUUCCCCACCAUGGCCCGGGCCCCUCUGCUCCUCGCACUGCUCACUUACUGCUCAGGUUCUCUUGCCCAGUACGUGCUGACCCAGCCACCUGCAGUGUCUGUGUCUCCAGGACAAAGUGCUCAGCUCACCUGCUCAGGAGAAAAGUUUGACAAAUACUAUGUGCAGUGGUACCAGCAGAAACCUGGCCGUGCCCCCGUACUCAUUAUAUAUAAGGAUAGUGAGAGACCCUCUGGAAUCCCCGAGCGAUUCUCUGGGGCCAGCUCUGGUAAAACAGCCACGUUAACCAUCACUGGAGUCCAGGUGCAGGACGAGGCAGAUUAUUACUGUCAGGUGAGGGAUAGAGACAGUAGCACUCCUCACAGUGACACAGCCAGAUGGGGAAGUGAGACAAAAACUGCCUGUUGACACAGGGGACCAUUUAUUCAUGGACAGUUGAGAUUCAAGGUGCAGAUUAUCUUAUUCUGGCUGAUUAAUAU